GCACAUCCCCAGACUUCUUCUCAGGGACCUGAGGGAGGCUAAAGAUCUGUCUGGACCGUCAAUAAACACUAGUGAUCACCUUAAUGGACACACUGGACAACAUAAUUAAAGGUUUCCCUAACACAGUGUAAAUGGAAGCGACUGAUGUCCAGAAACUAAGGGUCAUCCUUGAUGAUGU